UAAAGCUUGGAACGCUGUUUGUGGGUUCUAGGAGGAUGGAGGAAAAGAACUACGCUUGUGUAUCCAGUCAAUCAUGGUGUCCCUCAAGCAAAGCUGUCUAGAACACUUUCCCAAGGAAAGAAGAUAAAGCAAAGUUCAAAAGAUUCUUCCCCACAAGCAGCACUCUGGAUCCAUGGAGGGUCCUUCCACAGGGUCCAAAGGAUCAGAGCAAGGCUUCAGUGAAAGUUGUUGACUCCUGCUCUCGCAGAAUGGGAGAGAUCAGCAUACAGAGAGUCCUCUCUGUGCUUUGAUCUUUGAAGAUCCUAUUGUGACAGAAUCUGACUGGCCACCCACAAAGGGAUAUUUGGAGAAGCUUGCGGGGUAGGCUGUGCUAGGCACAUGGUACUGUAUUUAAAGAGCUGUGACUCGGUUGAGUCACUGCAGUGAUUAUCAUACUUUAA
rnacentral:lncRNA from 1 species